AUUGAACGCUGGCGGCAUGCCUUACACAUGCAAGUCGAACGGAUCAAGGGGCUUGCUCCUUGGUUAGUGGCGAACGGGUGAGUAAUGCAUCGGAACGUACCCAAUCGUGGGGGAUAACGUAGCGAAAGUUACGCUAAUACCGCAUAAGUCCUGAGGGAGAAAGCAGGGGAUCGCAAGACCUUGCGCGAAUGGAGCGGCCGAUGUCGGAUUAGCUAGUUGGUGAGGUAAAGGCUCACCAAGGCGACGAUCCGUAGCUGGUCUGAGAGGACGACCAGCCACACUGGGACUGAGACACGGCCCAGACUCCUACGGGAGGCAGCAGUGGGGAAUUUUGGACAAUGGGCGAAAGCCUGAUCCAGCCAUGCCGCGUGAGUGAAGAAGGCCUUCGGGUUGUAAAGCUCUUUCGGACAGAAAGAAAUCUUCCGGGCUAAUACCUCGGAAGGAUGACGGUACUGUAAGAAGAAGCACCGGCUAACUACGUGCCAGCAGCCGCCGUAA
rnacentral:rRNA from 1 species